GACGAACCGUGCGAACGUUAUUCGGAAUCACUGGGCUUAAAGCGCGUGUAGGCGGGUGGGAACGUCGGCUUCUGAAAGCCCCCGGCUCAACCGGGGAAGUGGAACCGAAACGGCCCGUCUGGAGGGACGUAGGGGGACCUGGAACUUCCGGUGGAGCGGUGAAAUGCGUUGAGAUCGGAAGGAACGCCCGUGGCGAAAGCGAGGUCCUGGACGUCUGCUGACGCUGAGACGCGAAAGCUAGGGGAGCGAACGGG
rnacentral:rRNA from 1 species